CUGACUGACCGAUAGUGAACCAGUACCGUGAGGGAAAGGCGAAAAGAACCCCGGCGAGGGGAGUGAAAAAGAACCUGAAACCGUGUACGUACAAGCAGUGGGAGCACGCUUAGGCGUGUGACUGCGUACCUUUUGUAUAAUGGGUCAGCGACUUAUAUUCUGUAGCAAGGUUAACCGAAUAGGGGAGCCGAAGGGAAACCGAGUCUUAACUGGGCGUUAAGUUGCAGGGUAUAGACCCGAAACCCGGUGAUCUAGCCAUGGGCAGGUUGAAGGUUGGGUAACACUAACUGGAGGACCGAACCGACUAAUGUUGAAAAAUUAGCGGAUGACUUGUGGCUGGGGGUGAAAGGCCAAUCAAACCGGGAGAUAGCUGGUUCUCCCCGAAAGCUAUUUAGGUAGCGCCUCGUGAAUUCAUCUCCGGGGGUAGAGCACUGUUUCGGCAAGGGGGUCAUCCCGACUUACCAACCCGAUGCAAACUGCGAAUACCGGAGAAUGUUAUCACGGGAGACACACGGCGGGUGCUAACGUCCGUCGUGAAGAGGGAAACAACCCAGACCGCCAGCUAAGGUCCCAAAGUCAUGGUUAAGUGGGAAACGAUGUGGGAAGGCCCAGACAGCCAGGAUGUUGGCUUAGAAGCAGCCAUCAUUUAAAGAAAGCGUAAUAGCUCACUGGUCGAGUCGGCCUGCGCGGAAGAUGUAACGGGGCUAAACCAUGCACCGAAGCUGCGGCAGCGACGCUUAUGCGUUGUUGGGUAGGGGAGCGUUCUGUAAGCCUGUGAAGGUGUGCUGUGAGGUAUGCUGGAGGUAUCAGAAGUGCGAAUGCUGACAUAAGUAACGAUAAAGCGGGUGAAAAGCCCGCUCGCCGGAAGACCAAGGGUUCCUGUCCAACGUUAAUCGGGGCAGGGUGAGUCGACCCCUAAGGCGAGGCCGAAAGGCGUAGUCGAUGGGAAACAGGUUAAUAUUCCUGUACUUGGUGUUACUGCGAAGGGGGGACGGAGAAGGCUAUGUUGGCCGGGCGACGGUUGUCCCGGUUUAAGCGUGUAGGCUGGUUUUCCAGGCAAAUCCGGAAAAUCAAGGCCGAGGCGUGAUGACGAGGCACUACGGUGCUGAAGCAACAAAUGCCCUGCUUCCAGGAAAAGCCUCUAAGCAUCAGGUAACAUCAAAUCGUACCCCAAACCGACACAGGUGGUCAGGUAGAGAAUACCAAGGCGCUUGAGAGAACUCGGGUGAAGGAACUAGGCAAAAUGGUGCCGUAACUUCGGGAGAAGGCACGCUGAUACGUAGGUGAAGCGACUUGCUCGUGGAGCUGAAAUCAGUCGAAGAUACCAGCUGGCUGCAACUGUUUAUUAAAAACACAGCACUGUGCAAACACGAAAGUGGACGUAUACGGUGUGACGCCUGCCCGGUGCCGGAAGGUUAAUUGAUGGGGUUAGCGCAAGCGAAGCUCUUGAUCGAAGCCCCGGUAAACGGCGGCCGUAACUAUAACGGUCCUAAGGUAGCGAAAUUCCUUGUCGGGUAAGUUCCGACCUGCACGAAUGGCGUAAUGAUGGCCAGGCUGUCUCCACCCGAGACUCAGUGAAAUUGAACUCGCUGUGAAGAUGCAGUGUACCCGCGGCAAGACGGAAAGACCCCGUGAACCUUUACUAUAGCUUGACACUGAACAUUGAGCCUUGAUGUGUAGGAUAGGUGGGAGGCUUUGAAGUGUGGACGCCAGUCUGCAUGGAGCCGACCUUGAAAUACCACCCUUUAAUGUUUGAUGUUCUAACGUGGACCCGUGAUCCGGGUUGCGGACAGUGUCUGGUGGGUAGUUUGACUGGGGCGGUCUCCUCCUAAAGAGUAACGGAGGAGCACGAAGGUUGGCUAAUCCUGGUCGGACAUCAGGAGGUUAGUGCAAUGGCAUAAGCCAGCUUGACUGCGAGCGUGACGGCGCGAGCAGGUGCGAAAGCAGGUCAUAGUGAUCCGGUGGUUCUGAAUGGAAGGGCCAUCGCUCAACGGAUAAAAGGUACUCCGGGGAUAACAGGCUGAUACCGCCCAAGAGUUCAUAUCGACGGCGGUGUUUGGCACCUCGAUGUCGGCUCAUCACAUCCUGGGGCUGAAGUAGGUCCCAAGGGUAUGGCUGUUCGCCAUUUAAAGUGGUACGCGAGCUGGGUUUAGAACGUCGUGAGACAGUUCGGUCCCUAUCUGCCGUGGGCGCUGGAGAACUGAGGGGGGCUGCUCCUAGUACGAGAGGACCGGAGUGGACGCAUCACUGGUGUUCGGGUUGUCAUGCCAAUGGCACUGCCCGGUAGCUAAAUGCGGAAGAGAUAAGUGCUGAAAGCAUCUAAGCACGAAACUUGC
rnacentral:rRNA from 3 species